GACGAACGCUGGCGGCGUGCUUAACACAUGCAAGUCGAACGGGUCUGCCCUGUUUUUUGCGGGGUGGGUCAGUGGCGAACGGGUGAGUAACACGUGAGUAACCUGCCCCUCACUUCUGGAUAACCGCUUGAAAGGGUGGCUAAUACGGGGUGUUCUGGCUGUGCCGCAUGGUGUGGCUGGGAAAGAUUCACUUUUGUGGUGUUUUGGUGGGGGAUGGGCUCGCGGCCUAUCAGCUUGUUGGGGGGGUGAUGGCCUGCCAAGGCUUUGACGGGUAGCCGGCCUGAGAGGGUGGGCGGUCACACUGGGGAUGAGAUACGGCCAAGACUCCUGCGGGAGGCAGCAGUGGGGGGUAUUGCACAAUGGGCGGAAGGCUGAUGCAGCGACGUCGCGGGAGGGAUGGAGGCCUUCGGGUUGUGAACCUCUUUCGCCGGUGAAGAAGGUCCUGCUCUUUGUGGUGGGGUUGACGGUAGCCGGGUUAUGAAGCGCCGGCUAACUACGUG
rnacentral:rRNA from 1 species